GGUGUCUUUUCCCACUACAGGAAGUGAAUACCUCCUUGGAAAGUUAAUGGAAGUUGCUCAUAUCCUACAACGAAAAAGAGGGCCCAUGGAAUGUGGAUCCCACAUAUAACCAGUUGGAACAUCACCCUAACUGUGAUGGGCAACUGGGCAACAAGGAGUUAAGGAGCUGUUCUGGGCUCAUCCUGCUCGGCCCCACCACACCUGCAAGAGGUGCACAGGCAGAAAGAGGAAUCAAAAGGGAGCAGAACAGCUCACUUGCAGGCACAACAGGGAAGAGAGCAGACCUGUAACUUGAAGCACCUGAGAGAAGAACUGAGGGAAUGCAGGAUCUCUCCCUACAACAACUGCGGAAAGAUCCUUCCCUGAGGGAAGGGAGGACCUGCUUCAGAGGAGAGAUUUGGAACUAACCUGGCUGGAGGGACAUGGCAUGAGAGAAGGCAGCCGUCACUUCCAGAGGAAGAAAGUUACCAUUCCCUGCCUGGCCAUGAAGAGCCACCAUGUGGUGAACUGACUCCCUUCACGCUUUCCUGUACAGACUGUAAACAGGGACAAUAGAGGGGCAGUAGGAAGUGGCCCAGGAAGGGCAGCCUUAAGGUGCUUCUGGGUGUUGGAUCCUUUUGUUGCUCUCAUAGGGCCCUGGACUGGAGCCCAGUGCAGUGGGAGGGCCUGGGUUCCCCUACCAAAACUCCCUUUGCAGGUUGAAGGACCUAAGCCCUAACCAUUAGGCAAUGGUCCCUAUGAGUGAAGAGCAUAACACCAACCUACUAAACACCCAAGCAACUCAAAAUACCCACAUAUCAAGCAGGUACCUCCAUAUAUACCUAUUAACUAUCACUAAAGUAAAUUUUUAAAAAUUCAUAAAGAGUAUUUAGCUAGGACUUCUCAGCUGGGGAAUGUAUCUAGCAAAAUUGGCACUUACUGUAGAAUGGUGUAAAAUAACUAUUCCAACCACAAGGAGGGAUGAAUUGGGCUUCAUUAUGGAUCUGUACGUUCACUUCCUUUGUUUGUACUAGGAAAUAAUUUUGGCUUGUCCUAAACGUGAUGUCAUAUGGUUCAAAUUCUCCUGUGUACCCAGGAAUAUACCUAAUCAGUCCAAUGGUCCAUCUAGUUCAGUACCCUAUCACUGACAGUAGCCCUUAUGAGAUACUUUGGAUGCUACCACAAUACAAAUAAAUACUGAUUAUAAUAAUUCAUAGGCAAUUAUGAAUAACCUUAUCAGGGUUAUUUCUAAUCCCAAAGAGUGAGUCUUACUCUCAGCCAGUAUGUACAUUUUCCACGUGUACAGAAGAUCACAGAUGUAGUAUAAUAAUAUUUGAAAUGGCCUUUCUUUCUUUUGAAUUGUGCCUGGAACAGUUAGUUAUACAAUGGAAAUAAGUAUUUUGAUAUACUGUAAAAACGAGAGAUGCUCCCCCAUAGUUAUUUUGUUUAUGUGUGAAGAUAA